rnacentral:rRNA from 1 species
CGGACUGUAGUCUGCAACCCGACUACACGAAGCUGGAAUCGCUAGUAAUCGCGGAUCAGAAUGUCGCGGUGAAUACGUUCCCGGGUCUUGUACACACCGCCCGUCACACCAUGGGAGUCGGGAAUGCCCGAAGUCAGUGACCCAACCUAUUGGAGGGAGCUGCCGAAGGCAGGUCUGAUAACUGGGGUGAAGUCGUAACAAGGUAUC